ACAGAUCAAAAUAAAUCAAAGUGCAACAAAUUUAAUAAUCACAUUCAAACAGAAAUUAAUAAUUUAAAAGUCUUAAGUUUAAAUGAUACUGGUGCGGGCAUUUCAUGUAUACAAUCAGCUUUAUUUGAAAGGUUAAAAAAAUGUAGGGUAAAUUUAAAGACUAAAUCGUAUAAUAUUAGUCAUCCUAGGCAGUGUUGGGCAAAAAUUAGUCAUGUCUAAUGAUUAAUGAUUAUCCUUAAUUGAAACCUUAUCCCAUGGCGAGUGUUGCUUUAGGUAAGCACACUUACAUUGAUGACGUUAUCACUGGGGCAUCAAAUUCAGAACAAGCUCGUGAGCUCAUGGCACAAUUGAAGGAUCUGCUUUUUAAAGGUGGCUUUGAGCUCAGAAAAUGGUCAAGCAAUGAUUGCUCGGUGCUAAUCGGAUUGCCCCCGGACCACCUUGAAAUGCCUAUUAGCUUUGCAAAGGAUGAAAGUUGCAUAAGGAUACUUGGCUUAAAUUGGAAUCCGAAAUCUGAUUCAUUUGGGUUUCAAGUUUCUCCCUUUGAAGGUGUCACAACAAAGCGAUCUCUCUUAUGUCGCCAGAAUUUAUGAUCCGCUUGGAUUUUUGACCCCAACCACAUUUGGGAUCAAGUAUUUUCUGCAGCAGCUUUGGAUUGCUCGAGUGGAUUGGGACCAAUCUAUUCAAGGAGAACUGCUCCAAGUUUGGCAGAACUUUGUAUCACAGAUUUCAGAACUUAGAAAAUUUGUAAUUCCCAGAGCUUUCGGCCAUUCGCAUUUGUUUUGUCAUCUCGUAGGCUUUUGCGAUGCCUCUGAAAGAUGUUAUGCUGCUGUACUCUUUCUCUUGUUCCAGACAAGGGAAAAUUCUCACGUCUCUUUCCUGAAGGUGAAAAGUAAGAUCGCGCCCUUAAAAACCCUAUCUGUACCCCGACUUGAACUUUGCGCAGCGUUGCUCCUUUCUAGGAAUCGUAAGACUUUACCUGAGUUGGAAAUAUCCUUAGCCUCCCGAACAUUCUUCACCGAUUCACGAAUUGUGCUAGCUUGGCUGGCAACACCUCCUUAUCGCCUUAAAACAUUCGUCGCUCAUAGGGUAGUAGAAAUACUCGAAUCCUCCCAGCCAUCAGAAUGGAAACAUAUGCCUCUGGUGAAAAUCCUGUUGACUGUGCGUCGCGUGGGCUAUUCCCUAGUGAGUUAGUUAUGAACCGCCUCUGGUUGGAAGGUCCUCCACUUUUGUUAAACUUCCCGCAAAUUACCGGUCUUCUUUUGAGCCCCUCUCGAUUGACGAACUCGACGAAUUAAAACCCAUUUGCCUAGUUAUGUCUUCCAUAAAAAAUGUAGAUGAAUUUGUUGAAUAUUUCAACAAAUUUUCCCAAUUAUCCACACUUCAGCGAGUAGUGCCAUACGUUUUAAGGUUUUGUCAUGAUAGUCGUCUGGUUGAGACUGCUGAUCGGACUUCAAUCAAUGACCGCACGAUCGGCCCAUUAACGGUACAUGAGCUCGAUGAGGCCCUACUUUGCAUAGUAAAAUUUACUCAACUCUUCUACUACAAAAAUGAAAUGGAAUUACUCUCUAAUGGCAAGCCAGCCGCUACCUUGCUUUCGCUUAAUCCCUUCAUUGAUAAAAGGGGGAUCCUCAGGGUGGGCGGUCGGUUGCGUCAUUCCUUACUCCCUUUUCUCUCUAGGCAUCCCUCAAUUCUCCCCAAAAAUGCGCAUUUUCUUCGCCUCGCUUCACUCCGGUCCUAUGACAGUUCAAUCCCUGAUAAGGCGAAAGUUUUGGAUAAUUUCGCUUCGAAGCUUAGUUAGAAAACGUAUAAAUGGAUGUCUCACUUGCCACAAAUUUCGUGCGCAAUCUCCCUCCCCUCGAAUGGCAGACCUACCGCUUAGUAGGUUACGUCCCGUGCGUUUCUUCCAUUCAGUAGGCACUGAUUUUACCGGGCCUUUCGCCGUGAAAGAAUCUAAUCGCCGUAGAACGGCCAUCUCUAAGGGUUGCUUGUGCAUCUUUUUAUGCAUGGUGACCAAAGCUGUGCAUUUGGAAAAGGUUACCGAUCUCUCGACUGAAGCCUUUCUUGCUUGCUUUGACCGCUUCGUUUCUCGGCGUGGCUUACCCGGCGCAAUUUAUUCCGACUGCGGAAGAAACUAUUGCGGAGCCGCACGCUCUCUCAAGGAAGUCUGCUCAUUUCUAGAAGACACCAAAGAGGCCAUCUUCACACACGCUUCCCAAAAAAACAUUCAGUGGCAUUUUAACUCUCCUGCUGCGUCUCAUUUCGGCGGUCUCUGGCAAGCGUCCGCCAAAAGGCUUUUAUAUCGUCUUGUUGGGGAUAGAACCCAGACUUUUGAGGAGUACAGUACUCUGUUUGCUAGAAUUGAGGCGGUUCUAAAUAGUCGCCCCCUCUGCUCCACUAUGCCCGGGGUUGGAGAUGAUCCAGACUAGCUGAGUCCCACCCAUUUUUUGCUCGCUACAUCUCCCCUCUCGACUCCAGAGCGGCAUAUGGCUGACGAAUUACGACCUAUUUCCCGAUAGCAUCAUUUAAGGCAACUUCUCCAAGUGUUUCGGCGCCGCUGGUCCAACGAAUAUUUGAACGCGUUGAUUCAGAGGAAAAAGUGGCAUCGGUCGUCCCUUUCACUAAAGGUUGGUGAUGUAGUUUUCUUGCGUGGAGUAGGGACGUCCCCACUAUCAUGGCCCAUCGGUCGUGUUCAGGCGGUUCACCCUGGCGCUGAUGGAGUAACCCGCGUAGCAACUGUUCGUACGUCUGCCGGUUAUUAUGUCCGACCAGUACGCGCAUUGAUUUCUCUCCCUUCCUCUGAAUAAUCACCCUACUUCGUUGUACAUAGCUGAAUUAUAGUUUUGGAAAGGUCCUUUUCAUUUUCUGUUUGUUUUUUUGAUGUUAUGAGAUUUCUCGGUCGAAAACCAAAAAAACCUGCUUCUACAUCGAUCUCUUCCACCUGAAAUCAUCUGAUAUUCUGCGGCGAGGUCAGAGGAGUCGGGCCCGAGCUCUCUACGCUUCUUGCAGCCGUCAUCUGAAGGAAGGUGAAACGGCGUAUAAAAGAAGCGAGUGAUCACGAUGCCGAUUAAAGAGGUUUCGUUCAUACGACCAUGUAAGUAUAGCUGUGAAAUAGAUAUUUUUAUUCAGAGAAGAUCAAAUUUUAAUCUGAUUCGUUCCAGGGACUCCCUCAAAUGUAUUCUUGUUAUUCUUGCCGUUCUUGUCACAGCGGAAUCGAUAAAAUACACACAAUGUCAAUUUGUGACGGAGGUGAAAAACGCAACAUGCCAGCAAACGUAUCGGAUUGGGUUUGCAUCGCAGAACAUGCAAGUAAAUGGGACUCAUUCUUUGGAGAAACAGCACACGGAGGGCUGGUUUACAACGGCCUUUUCGGGAUAUCUAACGAAAUGUGCGGUGUAAGGAACUUUUGCCGAAUUAAUUGCGAGGAAGUUAUGCUAGCAGAUGACGUUGCACCGGCGUUCCACUGCGCAUAUUUCAUCUACAAAAAAUUUAAAUUCGGCAGAUGGCCUGUUUGGGAGAAAGAAUGCAAAGACAAGUAUGUGUUGAACUGCUCUUGAAAUAAACAUUGCCAAAACGAUGAAAUAUCGAUGA